UUUAAUAACCAAGUUUUAUAACAAUGCAGAAAACCUUGUAUCAAUAAUAUUAAGGAAAAUAGUGAAAUUUUGCAUGUCAAAAUGGGACCAACAAAUAGAAGGACUUACUGCCUAUUACAAUUUGAUACCUCAAUUGACUAACCCCAAAAUGCCCGACAUCGCAAGAAAACCUUCUAUUAGUAAUAUAUCAUUAUUUAUGAGUGAUCAAAUAUCAUAGACAAUCUUAUCUAUGCUAAGCAUGUAAAAUGAUUAUUCUAUUUAUGUGUAUACAACAAAUAACAAAAUUUAGUAAUAUCUCACUGUAUGUCAUUAGUCUUUCUCCUUCUAUUCCUAGCUAGCUAUGUUAACUAUAAUUUAUUAUCAAAUUUUGAAGUGUUUUUCCUUCAUCCUUACAAAAUAAUCUUUAAUUUAAAAUUACUACUUAAUCAGACCUCAUUGUAUCAGAUCUAGCAACACUUGGGCAAAUUAUCCGAGUACACUAAAAAUGAUGUUUCUGAGACUAAUCUUAGGAACAACAUUGCUACUAACUAAAAUUAAAUGCUAUGUACAAUUUGAACACAUUAUAUUAAUUAGUCAAACUUAAAAAAAUUGUAAGUGAGUUACUGAUUAAUUAAGUUAGAAAACUUUUUAACCGUAGCAUAAUAUUAUCUUAUUAUCAUUAUUAAGAGACCGACACAAAUACCUAGUGAUGUUAUCAAUACCACUUUAACCAAGACCAAGACAUUGAAUAGUUAAAACUAUGAUAACCAAAUUAUCUUCUUUCUUUUAUUAGAAAAUAAAAUGUUAUCAACUUCUAGACCAAUCCAUCCAAGGAUCGUAACCAUUUGUGGAAGUUCCCGAAUGGAAUAUGUCCUCAUGAAAAUGUUUGAGUUAUAAUUAUCCAAAUAUCGACUAAAUGAUUUUCGAGACUAUUCGAAUCAAGACCAGUCUCAAGAAUUACAUCACUACAAACUAAAAUGUUUUCACAACCGAAUGUGUAUAUUUUGUAUACAUAUAAAAUUUAUUAGUACGGCUUGAAUUUACGAGUAAACUUUGAAGAGCGAGAAUUUUUACCAGAGAC
rnacentral:lncRNA from 1 species